rnacentral:lncRNA from 1 species
CGACAGUCACCUUGGAGCCCAUUGGAGGUGCCUCUGCCCAAGGUCCUCUGAUGGCCAAUGGGAUUGGCUGGGAAGAGGGAGGUAAAGGGAUGAUUCCGGGGCCAAGCCGGUGUCUUUGGCCUCCUUUCUGCUUUGCCCCACUGGGGACUUCUCAAGGUGACAUCUCAUGUCUCAAGGCGAAGCCCUGUCCCCACAGCACUGGUGUCAGGGCCCCUUGCACUGGAGCAAAGUAUUCCAGGCGUAUCCACCAGAGGGCAGGCUUCACCCUUCAAGAAGCCUUCCCCAUUCACGUUCACCUACGGACUCUGCCGUCUGAGCUCCAACAGCCCCAGGGUCCACGCCGCUGCCUGGCAUUACUCUGCUCUCCCCGGACGACCUCAGCGCUGCUGUCUCCCUGCUGCCCACUCCGAUGGUUACUUACCCUGAUGCAUGGUGCUUUGCAAUACCAGUGAACCGGUAAGAGCAGUAAUUCCUUCAUUUAUAUUUUCUCCU